UAUAUAUUAAUGUUUUAUAAGCAUAAUUUUUUUUGAAUAAAUUAGAAAUAGUGAAAUUCUAUUAUAUAUAU
rnacentral:tRNA from 1 species